rnacentral:rRNA from 1 species
GACGAACCGAGCGAACGUUAUUCGGAAUCACUGGGCUUAAAGGGUGCGUAGGCGGGCAUGUAAGUCAGGGGUGAAAUCCCACGGCCCAACCGUGGAAGUGCCUCGUCGAUACUGCAGGCCUGGAGGGGGAUAGGGGCGUGCGGAACUUCCGGUGGAGCGGUGAAAUGCGUAGAUAUCGGGGAAGGAACACCAGUGGCGAAGGCGGCUCACUGGCCCGGUACUGACGCUGAGGUGCGAAAGCGUGGGGAGCAACAGG